rnacentral:rRNA from 1 species
AACGAACGCUGGCGGCAUGCCUAACACAUGCCAGUCGAACGAAGUCUUCGGACUUAGUGGCGCACGGGUGCGUAACGCGGGGGAAUCUGCCCUUGGGUACGGAAUAACUCAGAGAAAUUUGUGCUAAUACCGUAUAAUGUCUUCGGACCAAAGAUUUAUCGCCCAAGGAUGAGCCCGCGUAAGAUUAGCUAGUUGGUGGGGUAAAAGCCUACCAAGGCGACGAUCUUUAGCUGGUCUGAGAGGACGAUCAGCCACACUGGGACUGAGACACGGCCCAGACUCCUACGGGAGGCAGCAGUGGGGAAUAUUGGACAAUGGGCGAAAGCCUGAUCCAGCAAUGCCGCGUGAGUGAUGAAGGCCCUAGGGUUGUAAAGCUCUUUUACCAGGGAUGAUAAUGACAGUACCUGGAGAAUAAGCUCCGGCUAACUCCGUG